GAGCAGGAGGGAGCGCGGGGGCAUCCAUCCCAGCUCGCGGCAGCCCCGGCGCCGCUCCGAGGAUCCCCGGGGCCCGUCGCACUGGGGAGCGCGGCUCUUCCGCCGUCAGUCAGUGUCAGUCAGUGUCAGUCAGUCAGCUAAUGUCAGUCAGUCUGUCAGUCAUGACUCACAAAGCGUUUCCUCGAAUUCCACCUUGCCCCUGCACCUGUGACUCAUCCGCUGCAUCCCUGAUCCGGCCUUUCCCUGGCGGGACUGAGCUGACUCAACAAACUUCCCCUUGCCGGGCCUUUGUCUCUGGCCCCUCCGAGAGCCGAUGAAGUAACAAUCAUGAAUGCAGCCCUCCCCAGGCACCUGCCCUCCCCAGGAUCAGCGGCCAUAUCUUGCCACUCCUCUCCUUUAGCUGUUACAGGGCAGACUGGCACUGGGCCUGUGCCCCAAGGAAGUCAUCAAGGAGGGAAAAGGGCCCACGUGCGUUUAUGGCGGCUCUUUGUGGUUCCUGGGAAAGGAGCGGCCGCCGUCAGUGGGGGGACAGGCUGUGGCACCUGAAAGUGACGCAACAUGACUGUUCUAUAAAAAUGACGAACGAGCCGGUUCUAGAAAGGCUGCAGAGACUGAUGGGAACUGAGGGAAAGGAGCAGGAAGACGCCAGACACAGUGACAGUGAGAACCAGGAAAGGCCCGUUCUCAGUCUCUGGAUCCAAAGCGACCCCAACAGACUCUGGGCAGAAAGCGCCGCCCGCGCUCAGAGAGAGCCAAAGGGGCUGAAUGUCAGUCACGCAUCUCGUUUCCGUUCCCGUCUGUCUCCCUCUUGCUUUGCUUUUUCUCCCUGGCGCGAUUAUAACAGUGUGUUACACCUGCCGAAAUCGUGACCUGCCCAGAGUCGCUGCCCGCGAAUGAGCCCCACCGGGUCCGGACUCGGGGCUCUUGGACUUCAGACCCAGCUCUCUGCCCCCUGAGACAGAGACGGCGUCUGUGUGUUUAUCCGUGCACGUAUAACACACAUGUAGUAUAUAACACACAUGUAGUACAUGUAUGCGAAAUCUCAUUUGAGCUUCGCUUAAUCCCAGUCACAAAAAAAUAAGUAAAAAAGAACGGAAUUAAGGCCUUUCCCAGGUCUCAGUCUGAGGCAAAACCCAUUUCAUGAGUGAGGGCCAGGUGAGGAUUGGGGGCAGGCGGCCUAGCUUACAAAGUCUUUCUUUGGGGCGAGGCGGCCGCAGGCUGGCCUACAGUGGGAUGGGGGCCCGCCCACCCAGCUCCCUGCUCUAGGGACGAGGGUGCCGAGCUGCCCAAGCCUCAUCAGGGCUGGCGGGACUCCCACCCCGCAGGCUGGGCCCAGCCGGGCUCUGUCCCCCUCACUGCCGCCCCCAGGACGUCUGUCCACAAGCAAGCGGGUUCCUGCGGGGACAGGUCCCUUCCAGCCGGAGACCUGGGUUCUGUGCACAUCCGGUCUCCGCAAGAGCUUGGAGCCAAGCCUCCCCCCCCCCCCCCGGGGGGUCCCUUCCAAGGUCCCGCCUGGGGCGGGGAGCGACCCCUCACAGCAGCUGAAGAUGCCGAGGUCUGGAGGGCAGCCUGGGCCAUGCAGCCUUGUUUGUGCACCUGCACGGAGGGCUUCACCUUUGCACCCCUGCCUCCCGAGGUCACCAGGGAAGCUCACAUCUGCUGUCAGACCUAAAGAUGCCAGAAGGAGGAGCUGCUGUGAUCACG
ensembl:lncRNA